UACGGGGGGUGCGAGCGUUGUCCGGAAUCACUGGGCGUAAAGGGCGCGUAGGUGGCCUGAUAAGGGUGUGGUGAAAGUCCGGGGCUCAACCCCGGAUCUGCCGUGCCGACUGUCAGGCUAGAGUACUGUAGGGGCAGGCGGAAUUCCGGGUGUAGCGGUGGAACGCGUAGAGAUCCGGAGGAAGACCGGUGGCGAAGGCGGCCUGCUGGGCAGUUACUGACACUGAGGCGCGACAGCGUGGGGAGCAAACAGG
rnacentral:rRNA from 1 species